rnacentral:lncRNA from 1 species
GGAUACACACACUUUAGGGAGGGGACCGAUUUCCCUCUAAAAAGAAUUCUUUCCAUUCACUCUUAAUGGAUUCUCUCAUCUUUGUCACUCUCUUAACUAUAUAACACACACACAUAAACGAAAAGGGGAGCUGGAGGCCAAACAAAAACCUAGCAGCUUCCUUCUUCUUCACCAUAUUUUUUAUACAAGAAUACUUCAUCUUCCUCACUUAGCUUCACCAUAAAAAUCACUGUUCACUUCUAAAAUUCAGCCAUGAAAUGCAAUUGAAUCACCAGCAAAAUACACCCCCAAACAUCCCCAAAAACUAGCAGCUCGGAUCCAGUCCAAAACGUCACACAAAACAGCAAAAUUUCGAGCUCAAAAUAGUCCCAAAACUCAUGUAAAACUCCAUUAAAUUUAGCCAUAAACCACCAGCAAAAAGGACCUCCAAACCCAGCUUCAUCUCCACCCUAAAACACCCCAUAAAACACCUCAAAAUUCAACCCCAAAGAGCAGCGAAAACAGCUGCAAAAUUGCUGAAGAAAGCUGUCAAAUAUUGACCUGAAACAUUCCCAAAAUCACUCCAAAACCCAGCUGAAAAAUCAGCCAAAUUUCAUUCCCAAACUAGAGCAAAAGUGGGCAAAAAACGCAGCCAAAAACAGCCGCAAAUCAGCUGCCGAUAACCGCCAAAAAUAGCCCCGAAAAGCCAUGAAAAUCGGCCCGAAAACCAGCUGAAACAGUCACCCAAAACUAGCUGGAACGCAAUACCAAACCACCCCAAAAAUAGUCCUCAUAGCACCAUAUUUGUCGAUAAGCAUAGCUUCAUUUCAACUGGGUAAGACCACCCACGUUUAGUCGAGUUUUUUUUUGGAGUCGAGUUCGAGACUUCCGGAGCGGGUUUCGAUUUGUGGUUCCUUUGGUGCGAGAAUUCAGGAGUUUCAUUUGCUCAUGUAACUGAAGAAGUUUCCAUCUAUACAAAGGUCAUUUUUCUCUUUAUAUUAUGGUUUUAGUUGAUAUUUUACUAUGAUUGGCCUAGCUAAAAGUUUUCAACUGCUUUGUUUGUUUACAUCUCUGAGAACGUGUGUUGGAUGUUUGUUUUGUUUGCUAAUUCUUGAGAAGAAGAAAUAUGACUUGAAUCUUAAUCCUUCAUAAUGCAUAAGUUUGGUAUUCUAAUUCAAAGACUUAAGUGAAUGAAAUUUUGUGUUAUCUGAGAAACAUGCCAUUAUUUUUAUACCAUUUUAGCCUGAGUCAGUAUGUUAAGAAAGGCAAAUUUAAUGUGAAUUGCUGCGAAUGAAUUUGAAAUGUGGGGUGCGCUAUGAUAAUUCAAAUGGGCCAUUUGGUCGACUAGAAUCAGAAUAGAGUUUGGAUCUUUCUAUUAGAACUAGGCCGAAAAGAUUUAGUCUUACGAGACCCAGAGUAAUAAAUAAUAUAGCUGACCCAUCUUUUCUUGCCUUACAAUCAUCUCAAACCUUAAGAAAUUAAUCAAUUAUCGAACAUCGUAGCUUGCUUUAGGCAUGAUUAAUAAUAAAAUAUCGUGACUAUGGGUACGAUUCCUGUGGCAUGGUCACGAUACAUAAAUGCCCAUUCAAGUACGUGUUUCACGCGACUUGACCUCAACUUCAAAUAAUAAUGAAAAUUAACAUGUUGUAAAUCACGGGUGCAUUUCACGUGGCGCGAUUCGUAAUGUGUAUAAAAAUAAACGAGUGCGCAACAUCGUGACUUAUUCAAAUAAAUUCUAUAAGUAUUAAAAGUGGUGAAAGAGUAAAAAUGCACAAUAGGUUUUAAAUAUGUAAUAAAUCAUAUAACUAGGCCAAUUAUUAAUAGUUAAGCGACCGUGCUAAAAUUACGGAACUCAAGAGUGCCUCACACCUUCUUCCGUAUUAAUAGAAUUCCUUACUCGGUCUUCUAUGUUCGCGGACCGUAAAAUAGAGUCAAAUUUCCUUGAUUUGAGAUUUAAAAUGAACCGUUGACUUGGGACACCAUCAAAAUUAUUCCAAAUGGCGACUCUAAAUAAAUAAAUAAUCUCAUUUCAAAUUAUGACACUUUAAUUGAAAAAAACUCUCGAUCCCUCGGGAAAAAGGAGGUGUGACAGCUCUGGCGACUCUACUAGGGACAUGAACCCAGAGUCUCUAGUUCAGGGUUCAGAAUUCGAGCUUAGAAUAAUUUUUAUACCUGGAUUUUGCUUAUUAUCUGAUUUCUUUACAUGUUUGAGCCUCAUGUGCUAAAUACCGCUUUUUACCGCUUUGAUAUUGUUUGAACUGUAUAUAAAACUGUUACGAAACCCUUAUUCUCUCUAAGGCUUCUAAAUCUUCUGGGAAGUGCAUGCUGGUGUGACUUCUUUUCUGUUAGUGUCAUACCCUAAUUUAGAACGAGGAUCAGAUCAGUUAUAAAAUCGGAUGGCCUUUUGGUUCCCGGUACGUUGCCCCCCUCGGCUCGAGUUGUCUCGUCGGGUAAGUCUCCAUACCUUUAAGCUCUUAAACUUAGAAGAACAUAGCCUCAUGCCAGAUCCCUAGUACGUACGCUAGUUUGCAUCACGUGUAUUUGACUUUGGGGACUCAACACAGGGGUUGGAUCCGUCUAGGACAGGUAUACCCAAAUUAAAAGACCAUCAUGAUGCAUCUUACGUGCUACUUGUGUAUUUGUUUGUUCGGCUUGCAUGUUGACUGGCUUCUAGAGUAUGGAAAGAAAAUCAAGAAAAAAUAGGAGAGAGAAAAUUGACCUGAUUCCUAAAAUUUCGGUAUUUGAAAAAAAAAAAAAAUCCUGAAACUCUGUCGAAUUUUUAGAAGGUUGUCACAAAUGAGUCCAAAUUUUCAAAAAUAACAUUUUCCACUGGUCCUGAAAAACUAACCGAACUACGAGGGUCUGAUUCUCACCGGAUGUGAGAUACGUAGGCAAACCUCAUCGGUUUCGGCACACAAUUUUCAAAAAACAAAAAUUCAAAUAUAUUUUCCUUUACUUCCUUCUUUAGAAAGUCUUUCUUUUAGACCCCAAUAUUUUAAAAAAAAUACAAACAAAAUUUCUUUUAAUUUCUUCUCAAAAUCCAAAAAUAUUUUCAUUCUUCUUUCGAAAAUUGAAAAGAAAAUUCAAGAUUCAAAAAUAUUUUCUUUUUUCUUUAGAAGUAUUUCUUUCAUAAAUUCAAAAUAAAAGUCCAAAAAUGCAAAAAUAUUUCCUUUCUUUUUUAGAAGUUUUUCUUUCGAAAUUUCUGGAAAAAACAAAGAGAAAAAAAAUCGAAAUUCAAAAAAAAAAAAAAUUCUUUCUACUUUAGAAGUCUUUCUUUUAAAAAAUUCUCAAAAACAAAAGCCAAACAAAUCGAAAUCCAAAAAUAUUUUAUUUCUUCUUUAUAAGUCUUUCUUUCGAAAAUUAAAAAAAACUUCAAAAUCCAAAAAAAGAGUGAGUUUAUUUACUUUAUUCAUGAUCUUCCCGAACUACGCAAAGAUCUGAUUCAUUUUUCCACAUGAUACGUAGGCAACCCACAUCAGGUUUGAUCGACCAUUUUUAAAAAAAAAAAACAUGAUGAUCAUAAUAAUAAGGACCGACUGAGUCCAUUCUAACGUGUCUUUUGUUUUGAAUGGUGAAGAAAGUUUAAGGUGGUCGGUUUGUGGUAAGCUAGCAACACAUCCAGAAUUCACAAGAUCCAAGGGAAAAAUGCCAAUGACAAUUGACAU